GAUGAACGCUGGCGGCGUGCCUAAUACAUGCAAGUCGAGCGAACGGACGAUAAGCUUGCGUCUCUGAUGUUAGCGGCGGACGGGUGAGUAACACGUGGAUAACCUACCUAUAAGACGGGGAGAACUUCGGGAAACCGGAUCUAAUACCGGAUAAUAUUUUGAACCGCAGGGUUCAAAAGUUAAAGACGGUCUUGCUGUCACUUAGAGAUGGAUCCGCGCUGCAUUAGCUAGUUGGUAAGGUAACGGCUUACCAAGGCAACGAUGCAUAGCCGACCUGAGAGGGUGAUCGGCCACACUGGAACUGAGACACGGUCCAGACUCCUACGGGAGGCAGCAGUAGGGAAUCUUCCGCAAUGGGCGAAAGCCUGACGGAGCCACGCCGCGUGAGUGAUGAAGGUCUUCGGAUCGUAAAACUCUGUUAUUAGGGAAGAACAUAUGUGUAAGUAACUGUGCACAUCUUGACGGUACCUAAUCAGAAAGCAACGGCUAACUACGUG
rnacentral:rRNA from 1 species